rnacentral:rRNA from 1 species
UUAAUUGGAAGCAACGCGAAGAACCUUACCAGGUCUAGACAUCCUUUGACCACUCUAGAGAUAGAGCUUUCCCUUCGGGGACAAAGUGACAGGUGGUGCAUGGUUGUCGUCAGCUCGUGUCGUGAGAUGUUGGGUUAAGUCCCGCAACGAGCGCAACCCUUAUUGUUAGUUGCCAUCAUUAAGUUGGGCACUCUAGCGAGACUGCCGGUGACAAACCGGAGGAAGGUGGGGAUGACGUCAAAUCAUCAUGCCCCUUAUGACCUGGGCUACACACGUGCUACAAUGGACAGUACAAUGAGCAGCGACACGGCGACGUGAAGCGAAUCUCAUAAAGCUGUUCUCAGUUCGGAUUGUAGGCUGCAACUCGCCUACAUGAAGCCGGAAUCGCUAGUAAUCGCGGAUCAGCACGCCGCGGUGAAUACGUUCCCGGGCCUUGUACACACCGCCCGUCACACCACGAAAGUUUGUAACACCCGAAGUCGGUGAGGUAACCGCAAGGAGCCAACCGCCUAAGGUGGGAUAGAUGAUUGGGGUGAAGUCGUAACAAGGUAACCAAGGGCGAAUUCUG